rnacentral:lncRNA from 1 species
UAAGUAUAUUUGCGAGCAGUGCUCAGUUGACCUGUGAAGCCAGAACAUUCAUGCUGAUAUUGCUGUUUUUACUUUGCUAUUUUCAUGUUAUUAUUGGAAUACCAAAGGGAUGUUUCAUAACGCCACGUACAAACGUUUCUGGCGCUGCUAUGCCGCGUUGGCACUUCGACUCCAGGGGCAAGCGAUGCAAGCCAAUUAUGUGGGGUGGACGUGGAUACAGUGGAAACAUCUUUAAAACGUCUGAUGAAUGCGAGAAGACAUGUGGCAGUUUGUAUUGACAGGAUGCCGAUAUCUGCCUCCUGGUGCCCCCCUUAUCCAAUUGCAAGCGCCCUGGGCCUUCUGUUGUAAUGUGGACUUACAACAGUACAACGAUGACCUGUCGUAAUGUUAAAUACUAUGGUUGCAAUGGAAAUAAAAACCUCUUCAAGACCUGUAAAGCCUGUCGCCACAAGUGCAGACAUCACUCGACUGUUUUGCAGUUCUGCCCGGAGAAUCCACCAAGAAGAAAACUUGGGUUUCAGGGCCCCCAUGACUCUGGUGUUCCGCAGAAGAAACCAAAACUUUAAUUGCGAUGAAAAAAAUUGAAUAACCCUAUAGAAAACUCAUCUAAUAAAGAAAGAGAAAAGGGUAAGCCAUAUAGAUGAUCGUCAAUGUAAGCGAAUAGCCAGGCACGAACGUGAACGUUCACAUUUGGCACCAGUCAAGA